rnacentral:rRNA from 1 species
UGGGGAAUAUUGGACAAUGGGCGCAAGCCUGAUCCAGCCAUGCCGCGUGAGUGAUGAAGGCCCUAGGGUUGUAAAGCUCUUUCACCGGUGAAGAUAAUGACGGUAACCGGAGAAGAAGCCUCGGCUAACUUCGUGCCAGCAGCCGCGGUAAUACGAAGGGGGCUAGCGUUGUUCGGAUUUACUGGGCGUAAAGCGCACGUAGGCGGACUUUUAAGUCAGGGGUGAAAUCCCGGGGCUCAACCCCGGAACUGCCUUGGAUACUGGAAGUCUUGAGUAUGGUAGAGGUGAGUGGAAUUCCGAGUGUAGAGGUGAAAUUCGUAGAUAUUCGGGGGAACACCAGUGGCGAAGGCGGCUCACUGGACCAUUACUGACGCUGAGGUGCGAAGGCGUGGGGAGCAAACAGG